rnacentral:rRNA from 1 species
UACGUAGGGUGCAAGCGUUAAUCGGAAUUACUGGGCGUAAAGCGUGCGCAGGCGGUUUUGUAAGUCUGACGUGAAAUCCCCGGGCUCAAACUGGGAAUUGCGUUGGAGACUGCAAGGCUAGAAUCUGGCAGAGGGGGGUAGAAUUCCACGUGUAGCAGUGAAAUGCGUAGAGAUGUGGAGGAACACCGAUGGCGAAGGCAGCCCCCUGGGUCAAGAUUGACGCUCAUGCACGAAAGCGUGGGGAGCAAACAGG